CACGUAGGGCGCAAGCGUUGUCCGGAAUUAUUGGGCGUAAAGAGCUCGUAGGCGGUCUGUUACGUCUGCUGUGAAAACCCAGGGCUUAACCCUGGGCUUGCAGUGGAUACGGGCAGACUAGAGGCAGGUAGGGGAGAAUGGAAUUCCCGGUGUAGCGGUGAAAUGCGCAGAUAUCGUAAGGAAGACCAGUGGCGAAGGCGGGUCUCUGGACAGUUCCUGACGCUGAGGCACGAAGGCCAGGGGAGCAAACGGG
rnacentral:rRNA from 1 species